rnacentral:tRNA from 1 species
UAAUCAGAAGCUAACAAGCAAUUUGAUUUCGGCUCAAUAGAUGAACUUAAAAUUCCUGAUUAU